UAAGGAAUAUUGGUCAAUGGACGCAAGUCUGAACCAGCCAUGCCGCGUGGAGGAUGAAGGUCCUCUGGAUUGUAAACUUCUUUUAUCUGGGACGAAACACUUCUUUUCUAAGAGGCCUGACGGUACCAGAUGAAUAAGCACCGGCUAACUCCGUGCCAGCAGCCGCGGUAAUACGGAGGGUGCAAGCGUUAUCCGGAUUCACUGGGUUUAAAGGGUGCGUAGGUGGGUAUGUAAGUCAGUGGUGAAAUCCCCGAGCUUAACUUGGGAACUGCCAUUGAUACUAUAUAUCUUGAAUACCAUAGAGGUAAGCGGAAUAUGUCAUGUAGCGGUGAAAUGCUUAGAUAUGACAUGGAACACCAAUUGCGAAGGCAGCUUACUAUGCGGUGAUUGACACUGAGGCACGAAAGCGUGGGUAGCAAACA
rnacentral:rRNA from 1 species